GCCGCUGCCCGCCCGGCCCGUGCGCGGCCUUUGCUCGGCUUGGGGCGGCGGGGAGAGAGCCGCAGCCUCCCGGGGCGUUUAACGGACCGCGAGGGAGCAGAAGUGUGCCAGGGUACGGCCGAGGGGGCCUGGAGUCCAGCGGUGUAAGCGACGUUUAUAGGGAGAGGCCCUACAGAGUCAUAAAAUGGUUUGGGUUGGAAGGGACUCAAAGAUCAACUCGUUUCGACCACCCCUGCCAUGGGCAAGGAUACUUUUAACUCGACCAGGUUGCUCAAAGCCUCAUUCAACCUGGCCUUGACCCCCUUCAGGGAUGUGGCACCCACAACCCCUCUGGGCAGCCUGUUCUGGAGCCUCGCCUCUCUUACAGUAAAGGGUUUUCCCCUGAUACCUAAUCUAAACCUGCUCUCUUUCCAUUUGCACCCAUUCCCUCUUUUCUUGUCACUACAUGACCUUGUAAAUAGCCUUGCCCCAGGCUGCAAUUAGGUCAUGCUGAAGUCUUCACUUUUCCGGGCUGAACAAACCAAAUCCUCUCAGCCUUUCCUCACAGGAGAAGUGCUCCAUCCCUCUGAUCAACUUGUUGCUCCUCCUCUGGGUCACCAGUGUUUGGUCCCAAAGCAGACAUCCCCUCUCGUGAUGAGCAUGGCUCUGUAGGCAUUUCAGCACAGAAGCAGAACGACACAACAUGUCAAGUUCCUGUUGCAGCCGGGAGAACCGGUGGCCCUGUGGACGAACUUCAGUAUGGAGCAUCCAUGAAUGCACGGAGUGAGCAACCCUGCAAAACCAGUUUCUUGUGUAUGAGGUCACUGAGCAUCAUCAGUCAAGCUGUCUCUACUACCUUCUUCUCCUUCCUACACACCAGGAUAAUUUCCAUCUCCGUGCUCACAAUACUGUGGAACUCCUCUGAGCUACUUUGCUCUUAUGCUCAGUUUUUCUCUUCUGCCACCAACUGUCAGAGCAAAGUCUUCUUUGUGGCCACUGGUUUUGGUCUUCUGUUCUCUUUUCUCUCUUACAAAAGUUUUGAAAAAACAUUGCAACAAUAAACAUUAGAUCUUUCCCCCCUAAUUUGAAGUAAAAAAAAAAUUUUUUUCCAGACUUCUAAAAUUAUUCAGUGACAGGGGGCUGUAAUAAGU